rnacentral:misc_RNA from 1 species
ACACAUGCAUCCACAAAAUCCUCACCUAUAAAAUUAGUAGAGAAGAUCAGCAAUCGAUCUGAACACACCUAGAGAAGCACUGUGUUAUGAACAGCCCAGCAUAUCCACGAAUCCUUCCUUUCACUGGUUUAACGCACAAAAAUGGGUUAUAUGCCCAAGGAGUAACAUUGUUCUCUACCCGGUAAAAUAAUUUCCUUGAAGAAGCUGGUUGUUGCUCACUCAAAUGCUUCACAUUGCUCUCAAACUUUGUUGAUGGCAAUUCUGUGUCAAUCCAGUUAUCCUUCAAAUACCCUGCAACACACAAUGGGCUCCCACCCAUGUUCAGGCUGUGGUGAUUUUCUUGGCUUCCAUGUACAGAUUAUUCUCUUUGGCAGCAAUUCUGCAAUUAUCUUGCCAAAGACACGAUCAUCCUAAUGGAUCAGAUACUCUCCCAGUUGUUCCUCCAAGCACUUCGUCAAAAUCUGGAGUAUCUUGAUGCCCAAACUCAGUCCAUAUUUCAAGAAUUAUGAUGUCUGAUUGAGUCUAUGAUAAGAGUUUCUUAACAUCACUGAUGACAACAUCUACAUUGUACGCUCAAUCAAUCAUAGUCUUUAACAAUGGUUAAAAAAAAAGGUGGGCCAUUUUCAUAAUCUAUCAACAAGUCUCAUGUUCGAAACCUAUUGGAUAGAAACAGAGUUAUUGAAAAAAAUAAAUAAAUAAAAGGUGGCCCGAAAUACCAUAAGGAAAAGAAAAACAAUGUAAAAUUUCCAAUGAAAAAACGGUCUAUGACACCAAUAUACAUAAAUGCCUGGACGAGCAAUGAUCAUCAAUUGAUAUAUACCUUAUUAUAGAAAGUGGACACAUAUGCAGAUGCUUGUGCACUAGUCACAAAAAAUACAUAUCUGAAGAUAAAAACCAGGCACAGCCUGAACAAUAUCUGUUAAAAAAUCUUGGAACAAGUUUUUGCUGAAUAUUAACACCGCUUCAACUUGUUAAAAGUAAGACUGGGAAUGCCUAACCAAACACCAUCUUAAACCACUUAGUACAUGUUUGGCAUAAUGUAAUAGAAGGUAAUGUAAUGAAAUGAAUUUUCAGUACAUCUUUUUAUUAAAUUUUUCUAUGAUUGCGCUGCAUUUCCAUUACAUUCAAUUACAUGCUACCAAACAUGUACUUAUAUUCAAAACUCUUAGAAUACUUGUCAUCCUUAUUAAUGCUGUCGGUAAAUAAAUGAACAUGAGAUUGGGGGGAGAGAGAGAAAGAGAGAGAGGAGGGGAGGAGGGAGAAGAAAAGGUCUGAAGUCUGAAACAAGAAAAAUCUGUUCCCCCUACUUCCAUAUGAUAAUUAUCCUUUCCCUCAUUAAAGCCCUGGUCCCCAGAACAGAAGCCAUCUCAUCUCACCAUUCACCAUGGUUCAUAGCAAUCAUAAUUCACGAGCCCAAACAUCUAAGUAACAGCACUUAAUGAAAGAUGGCAGACAAGAUAAGCCUGACAUAUAUAUGCAUAGAUGAUCCAACAUGAAAACAAAUUAUAUAACAAAGUGAAUACUUCAUACUAUGCAUGCAUGUCUAAGAAGUGUCAAAUUAACCCCAGAAGCAGCAGAAAGAAUCACAAAUUUGGAUAUGUGAUUAACAACAAUAGAUCAAACAACCAAAACUACAAGAAUUAAUCUCAAAAAAUAAUUGACAUCACAUGAAUAGAGUACCCACCAAUCAGAAGGAGAAGGAAUCCACUUAUCAUUAUCCAAAACAAUGUGCCAAUGUCUCUGAACUCCCAAUUAACCAAAAUAAAAUUCGAUAUCAUCUUUAUUUUUUCUGUUUGUCACAGGAUCACAAAAAAUCCAAUCUGGACCAUAGAUCAUGCAUCAAAUCAUACUCUUGCACCCUCCCCCUAAUAUUAUGAUAAAUCAAGCCAAUGUCCAUCAAGCCAUGCGUAAAGCUACAGAAGCACAGAUGAAACUUUAUAAAACAUAACAAGAGACUAGGUCACAGUGCCAUAUCCAAAUAACAAUCUUGGAUGAAAUCAAGGUAGGCAACACUAAUGGAGACAAAAGGGAACGUUAAUGAAGACAUGUUAAGGGACGAAUCUCAUUCCAAGAUCCACACAUGAAAGGCACAUUAAUAAAACCCAAAAAACACAAACGUUCUAUCUAAAUACUGAUUCUACAUGCAAAUCAAAGAAAAUAUAUUGAUUAAGGCACCUAAGUGAUUGGUUCUAGUUCAGGCUUCCUGAUAUCCACUAUAUGAUUAAGACAGAAGCUAAAGAGAUUGGUGGGCAGAAGGGAUUGAAAAUCUGAGUAGUAAAAAUGUUGCUUCGGCUGGUUCAAAUUAGUCACAAACACAAAAAGAGACGAUACAAGCCGAAAUGAGAACCAGAUCAGUUUCUAACUUUUGAACGAAUUGCCAGCAAUACUGCAUCAUGAUAAUGAAGAAAAAUGCACUCAUUAGAACUCAAAUCUUCAAUUUUUGUCAUUUUCUUUUAGCUUAAGAACAACUAUUAUCACCAAAUUGAACUUUACUCUUUAACUCAU